rnacentral:lncRNA from 7 species
AUGUGUGAUUUUCGCUUAAAUGGGGGAUUCUCGAAGAGAAAACGCGUGAUUUUCGGGUUAAAAGGGGGAUUUCCGAAGAGAAAACGUGUGAUUUUCGGGUUAAAUGGCAGAUUUCCGAAGAGAAAACGCGUGAUUUUCGGGUUAAAUGGGGGACUCUCGAAGAGAAAACGCGUGAUUUUCAGGUUAAGUGGGGGAUUCUCGGUGAGAAAACGCGUGAUUUUUCACUUAAAUGGGGGAUUCUCGAAGAGAAAACGCGUGAUUUUCGGGAUAAGUGGGGGAUUCUCAAAGAAAAAACGGGUGAUUUUUCUUAAAUGGCAAAUUUCAAAAUAUAAGCCGCGUGAUUUUCAAGUUAAAUGGGUGAUUAUCAAAGAGAAAAUGCGUGAUUUUGGGGUUAAAUGGGGGAUUCUCGAAGAGAAAAUGCGUGAUUUUCACUUAAAUGGGGGAUUUGCGAAGAGAAAACGCGUGAUUUUCGGGUUAAAUGGGGGAUUUGCGAAGAGAAAACGCGUGAUUUUUGCUUAAAUGGGGGAUUCUCGAAUUAAAAACGUGUGAUUUUCGCUUAAAUGUAGGAUUCUCGAUGAGAAAAUGGGUGAUUUUCGGGUUAAAUGGGGGAUUCUCAAAGAGAAAACGCGUGAUUUUCAGGUUAAGUGGGGGAUUAUCAUAGAGAAAACGCGUGAUUUUCGGUUUAAAUGGGGGAUUUGCGAAGAGAAAACGCGUGAUUUUUGGUUUAAACGGGCGAUUACCGACGGGAAAACAAGCGGCUCCGGGCGGGCUCUGCGCAUGCGCCAGCUCCGGGCGGGCUCUGCGCAUGCGCCAGCUCCGGGCGGGCUCUGCGCAUGCGCCAGCUCCGCGGGCCUGCCAUGCCCCCCGCGCUCUGCGCAUGCGCCAGCUCCGGGCGGGCUCUGCGCAUGCGCCAGCUCCGGGCGGGCUCUGCGCAUGCGCCAGCUCCGGGCGGGCUCUGCGCAUGCGCCAGCUCC